AUUGAACGCUGGCGGCAGGCUUAACACAUGCAAGUCGAGCGCGCGGCGGACGGGUGAGUAAUGUCUGGGAAACUGCCUGAUGGAGGGGGAUAACUACUGGAAACGGUAGAUAAUCCCGCAUAAUCUCAGAUGUGCCCAGAUGGGAUUAGCUAGUAGGUGGGGUAAUGGCUCACCUAGGCGACGAUCCCUAGCUGGUCUGAGAGGAUGACCAGCCACACUGGAACUGAGACACGGUCCAGACUCCUACGGGAGGCAGCAGUGGGGAAUAUUGCACAAUGGGCGCAAGCCUGAUACAGCCAUGCCGCGUGUGUGAAGAAGGCCUUCGGGUUGUAAAGUACUUUCAGCGGGGAGGCGUUACCCGCAGAAGAAGCACCGGCUAACUCCGUGCCAGCAGCCGCGGUAAUUC
rnacentral:rRNA from 1 species